rnacentral:tRNA from 1 species
GCUGCUGUUGAACGGCUUUUAGCAUCUGACUACGGAUCAGAAGGUUGGGGGUUCGAAUCCCUUCGGGCGCACCA